rnacentral:rRNA from 1 species
UACGUAGGUGGCGAGCGUUGUCCGGAUUUACUGGGCGUAAAGAGCGCGCAGGCGGUCGUCCAAGUCGCGUGUGAAAGCCCCCGGCUCAACUGGGGAGGGUCACGCGAUACUGAUCGACUCGAAGGCAGGAGAGGGAAGCGGAAUUCCCGGUGUAGUGGUGAAAUGCGUAGAUAUCGGGAGGAACACCAGUGGCGAAGGCGGCUUCCUGGCCUGUUCUUGACGCUGAGGCGCGAAAGCUAGGGUAGCAAACAGG